AUUGAACGCUGGCGGCAUGCUUUACACAUGCAAGUCGAGCGGCAGCGCGGGGGCAACCCUGGCGGCGAGCGGCGUACGGGUGAGUAAUACAUCGGAACAUGUCCUGUCGUGGGGGAUAGCUCGGCGAAAGCCGGAUUAAUACCGCAUACGAUCUACGGAUGAAAGUGGGGGAUCGCAAGACCUCACGCGAUUGGAGUGGCCGAUGUCGGAUUAGCUAGUUGGGAGGUAAAGGCUUACCAAGGCAACGAUCCGUAGCUGGUCUGAGAGGAUGAUCAGCCACACUGGAACUGAGACACGGUCCAGACUCCUACGGGAGGCAGCAGUGGGGAAUUUUGGACAAUGGGGCAACCCUGAUCCAGCCAUGCCGCGUGAGUGAAGAAGGCCU
rnacentral:rRNA from 1 species